CCAAAUUGGGGUGCACAAGUGCUGGUAAGUCGAUGAUAUUAUAUGACCCACAGGAGCCAAGUUUUCAUGGAGCCUUCUCUGAGGAGGGCCCACUUCUGGGAACAGGAACCCCUUUUGUGCCUUAGAACCCCUUCUGUAAGGAUUGCACCUGUGGACUGGUCCUGGCUGCAAUUUGUUCAGGAAACACAGGACAUUACCCCACUCAGGGUGUCUCAAGUGUGACCUGGCACCAUGGGGACCCGCCACCCCACCGGGGGGCGGCAGAGGGCGCUCUUCUGUGCACCGACCUGCUGUGACUAGGACACCGCUUGCCGAUGCCAGCAGAGAACAGGAGCCAAGGACAGCAAGGACCAGUACAGAGUCUAGAGCUGACUGUUCGUCAAGAAUCUACUCAUCUGGGAUGUUUGUUUGAACCUGAUGAUUUCAGAAACAACCACCGGAGUUUUUCAAUAGAAAAGGGAGAAAAUCAAUACCCCGCCAAGCCUCUAAGGGGAACACAAUCUGCCUAAGAACAAGAUGCUGCCAGAGGAGUUGUGACGAAUCAUGAAGAUGAAUGGAUGGUCGGCAACGAAAUCUUCCACUGGCUCCAGACUGCAGGUCCUGGAAACAAUUGCUGUGGCAGCUGCUGCCUCUGUGCCCUCCUCACUCACCUCCACAAAGGACUUGUGAAUAAUUUUUGAUACGAAAAUAUCUCUGGUUUCUGUCAUGCCAGACAGAUCAGCCUUGCUCCUGCUAAAGAGAUCUUCCACACCCAUGCGAGCCAGGUGGGGUUUGAGAUCAUAGGUCUCUUCCAGCUUGAAUUUGGGCAAGUGGAUGCGGACAUCCGUAUGACCCAUAUUCUCAGGCUUGGUCCACUCACACAGUUUUUCCAGAGUCAACUUCUUCUGGAUCUGGAAUUAGAAUGUGCAAAGACAAUACAAUUUUAUAUAGACAAAAAAAUAUUAAAGCGUCAUUUAAAUA